rnacentral:lncRNA from 1 species
AUGGACACGUCGAGCAGCGGCGUUCGUCUACCCUGCCUCGCCCUGGAGCACGCCGGCGGCGGCUCCGACAAGCCGGUGCUGUUCAGCAUCUCGGAGAGGAAGGUCAUCGACGGCGGCGGCGACAUCCCUGGGCUGACGAAUGCCAACGCCUGGGCGACGCCGCAGGGCUGGAUCCUAGUGCGCGACGCCGCCGCCGCCGCCGCCGCCACGUUCCUGCAGAACCCUCGCGACUCCUACGACACGAUUCCUCUCCCGCAUCUGCCCCAAGACGACUUGCCGCCGAGGAGGUGCACCUGCCUCCUCUCCGGCAAGCCGGCCGGCGGCGACGGCGGCUGCGUCGUCCUCCUCGUCCACCCUUUCUCCACCGUGUUCUGGCACUGCCGCGUCGGCGGCGACGGCGACGGCGAGUGGGCGAAGCACGAGUACGACAUCGGCACGCAGAGCGUCGACGACGCGAGCCUGCGCGUCGAGAAGGUGCCGAUCUGCCCGGUCGCCGCCGCUCGCCACGGCGCGUUCUACUUCAACGCCGACGCGGCCGGCAACCUCGGCGUGCUCGACCUCGCCUCCGCGGCGCCGGCGUUCGCCUCCCUCGACAUCGACGCCGGGGAGCUGGGCGACGUCGACCACGCGCACUUCUUCCUGGUGGAGUCCCAGGGGGAGCUGUACAUGGUCAGCCUGGUGUACGAGCUCGGCGGCGCCGGGAUGACGGACUGCGAGACGCGGGUGCACAGGCUCUCCGAGCACGAGCAGCCGCCGCGGCGGCGGUGGCGCAGGGCGCGCGACCUCGGCGGCGGGCGCGCGUUCGUGAUGGCUCCGUGGUAUUUCGCGGCGUCGUGCGGGCUGGAGGCGGACUGCGUGUACAUGUUCUACCCGGGGGAGGACGCGUGCGUGAAGAUAUCGAGCCCGGCGCUGUUCAGCAUCUCGGAGAAGAAGGCCAUCAAUGGCGGCGACAUCCCCGGGCUGACCAACACCAACUCCUGGGUGACGUCGCAGGGGUGGAUCCUAGUCCGCGACACCGCCUCCGCAACCACAUUUUUGCAGAAUCCUCGCGAUUUCGACGAUAAGAUUCAGCUACCCCAUCUACCCCAGGACGUGCACAUCAGUUCCACAUGUCUGCUCUCCUGCAAGCCCACGAUGCCUGGCUGCGUCGUUCUCCUCGUUGAGCCAGUCGGCACUAUCAUCUGGUACUGUCACAUUGGAGACGACGAGAAGUGGGUGGAACAUGAGUACGACAUUGGCACGCAGGUCUUGGACCCUCCCUUGGAUGGCAAGGACCACGAGAAGGUGCCGAUAUGCUGGAUCGCCGCUUGCCAGGGCAAGUUCUACUUCAAUGGCGGCUUCGAAAGCAUCGGCGUGCUGGAGUUCUCCCCCUCGCCAACAUUCAGCUCCAUCGCAAUCAUCGACCCCAUCAUUGGAGGAUUAGGGGUGAUGGGCAUGGCAAGCCUGUACAUGGUCGAGUCCUUGGAUGAACUAUACAUGGUUUGCCAAAUGUAUGACUCUGACAUGAAGACCAUCUACGAUGUUACUGUUUAUAGGAUGGAUUUCUUGAAGCAACAAUGGUGCAUAGCCGAGGACAUUGGUGGUCGUGCGUUCUUGGUAGCUUCAUGCUAUUUUGGUGCUUCACGUUCAGCUGAUGAGUGUGGGCUGGAGAAGGAUUGUGUCUACUCUACUUUUGCGCGCGAUAAGUAUUUUGAGGUGUGCAAGGUAGAGGAUGGAGAAACUGAAGAGUAUGAUCUCAUCGAAGCUCCAGAUUCACAAGGAGGGAUGUGGAUUUUGCCCGUUGAAAAAAAGUAGAGAUGAAAAC